rnacentral:rRNA from 1 species
AUUGAACGCUGGCGGCAUGCCUUACACAUGCAAGUCGAACGGCAGCAUGAUCUAGCUUGCUAGAUUGAUGGCGAGUGGCGAACGGGUGAGUAAUACAUCGGAACGUGCCCUGUAGUGGGGGAUAACUAGUCGAAAGAUUAGCUAAUACCGCAUACGACCUGAGGGUGAAAGUGGGGGACCGCAAGGCCUCAUGCUAUAGGAGCGGCCGAUGUCUGAUUAGCUAGUUGGUGAGGUAAAGGCUCACCAAGGCGACGAUCAGUAGCUGGUCUGAGCGGACGAUCAGCCACACUGGGACUGAGACACGGCCCAGACUCCUACGGGAGGCAGCAGUGGGGAAUUUUGGACAAUGGGGGCAACCCUGAUCCAGCAAUGCCGCGUGUGUGAAGAAGGCCUUCGGGUUGUAAAGCACUUUUGUCCGGAAAGAAAUCGCACUUACUAAUAUUAGGUGUGGAUGACGGUACCGGAAGAAUAAGGACCGGCUAACUACGUGCCAGCAGCCGCAGUAAAAC